rnacentral:rRNA from 1 species
AUUGAACGCUGGCGGCAGGCCUAACACAUGCAAGUCGAGCGAGCGGCGGACGGGUGAGUAAUGUAUGGGGACUGCCCGAUAGAGGGGGAUAACUACUGGAAACGGUAGCUAAUUCCGCAUACUAUCGGAUAACCCAUAUGGGAUUAGCUAGUAGGUGAGGUAAUGGCGCACCUAGGCGACGAGCCCUAGCUGGUCUGGGAGGAUGAUCAGCCAAACGGGGACUGAGACACGGCGCAGACUCCUACGGAGUCAGCAGUGGGGAAUAUUGCACAAGGGGCGCAAGCCUGAUGCAGCCAUGCCGCGUGUAUGAAGAAGGCCUUCGGGUUGUAAAGUACUUGUGGCAGAGAAGCGGUAUCUGCAGAAUAAGCACCGGCUAACUACGUGCCAGCAGCCGCGGUAAUAC